CAAGUAAAUAAAACAAAAUAAAAAUAUUAGGGGACAAACGAGUUACUCAGAUGACUAGCAUUAAUGCAGAAGAAAACUUUCGUAAGAAUUCUACAACACACUGGAAGAUCACAGUAUUAUCGAAAUAAUUGUUAAUUAAGGCCGAUUAAUAAAUUCUUUUUGACUUA
rnacentral:lncRNA from 1 species